CCGAUGCUCCUCCUUCGCCACGCUCCUCUUCAUCAAUCGUUUGAUUUCAAUUCUCUUCAUCAACCCCCACCCUCUUCGCUACCGACGCUCCUCCUCCUCCUCCUCAUUCGUCACGCUCCUCUUCAUCGCAAGGUUUGCCACUCUCAAGGAGCCAAUCAGAUUCAGCAAGGACGAGUCCUAUUGGUGAUCCAAUAGAGGACAAAGUGAUAGUGUCUGAGUUGAGAAAUGCUUCAAAUAGAAGAUCAAAUGGAACACCCAUAGACCAGGAAAUGUCAAAAGAAGUGGAGUCCAAGCAUAAUCCUCCCAGUGUGGUCGCCAAGUUGAUGGGGCUUGAUACCCUUCCACGGCAACAGUCUGAUUCUGCUGCGCAAAGAAGUCAUUCAAGAAACUAUGCACGAAGUCAUUCAGGUAUUCCUUUGGCUAAUU